CUGUUUUCUCAUUUUUUAUUAGCAGCUGCAAUUUUGAGUCCUUUGACCAUGCCUAUCAAGGCUUUAGUCAUAUAUGAUUCAUGGUGUAACAAUCCCACCCACCUCUAAAUGAUUAAGUGGUAAAAGAUUAAUUUACUUGACUCCUUUGUGGCUAACUCAUUGGGAUUAAUUUCUACAUAAAGGAAGCAUGUUGCCAUUGUUAUAUUUUGUAACUCUUUUGAGACCUAUGAAGUUUUAUAAAAUAUUGAGUGCUUGUUUCUGGUGCAUGUAUGUAUAUACAUUGGUGUGGAUGUUAAGCAUCAUUCAUACAAUGAGAAGUUUCAGAUUUAAUGCCCAUUGCCACUGUGUUGAUGCAUGGAUCAGUGCAGAGAAGAGCAAUGGAAAAGG